AACGAACGCUGGCGGCAUGCCUAACACAUGCAAGUCGAACGAAGUCUUCGGACUUAGUGGCGCACGGGUGCGUAACGCGUGGGUAUCUGCCCUUGGGUGCGGAAUAACUUCUCGAAAGGGAUGCUAAUACCGCAUAAUGUCGUAAGACCAAAGAUUUAUCGCCCAAGGAUGAGCCCGCGUAAGAUUAGCUAGUUGGUGGGGUAAAAGCCUACCAAGGCGACGAUCUUUAGCUGGUCUGAGAGGAUGAUCAGCCACACUGGGACUGAGACACGGCCCAGACUCCUACGGGAGGCAGCAGUGGGGAAUAUUGGACAAUGGGCGAAAGCCUGAUCCAGCAAUGCCGCGUGAGUGAUGAAGGCCCUAGGGUUGUAAAGCUCUUUUACCAGGGAUGAUAAUGACAGUACCUGGAGAAUAAGCUCCGGCUAACUACGUGCCAGCAGCCGCGGUAAU
rnacentral:rRNA from 1 species